AAUCGAGGAGAAGGAAAGAAAAGAGGGAAGAAAAUUUCUUCUCCGAUCCUUAAAGUAAAAUUGGGUAAAGCUAAGAAGACACUCAGAGUCUGAGCAACUAUACUUGGAGGAGCAGUUGCUCCAGACCUCUUCAAGGAACUGGUGCACCGUUCAUGAUAGAACAUAUAUUCCCACCAUUGACAUGGGGAUGUCAGGGUUGGCCAAUACAAGGUCAAUUGCGUUAUUCAUGUAAUUGAGAGGAUUGAUUCUCCAUAUUAGAUCAAGGGCAUCAACUUCCAGCUACUAUCUUCAUCCCAAGGAUGGAAAGUUUGUGACUUGGACUUGAGAUGCCUCCAUAUAAAACCAUGGCUCAGGCAAGUUGACUUGUUCACUCCAAAAAUCAUUGGUUUCUACUAACAUUUGAAUAACCAUUGAAGGAUUAUUAUUAACUUGAGAAUAAUGUUGUUUUUAUCAAUGUAUCCAAUAAAAGAGUGCCAUGACUUGAUGGAGUUGUUUUUGACCCUAACAGGUUAACUGAAUCACGUUGAGAACUGGCUUGGUGAUAGUGUUGUUUCACUCACUAGAACAUUAACUAUUUGACUGGAUAAAACUUAAAAUAAAGCAUGAUUAGCUAACCUCACUCUGAACUUCUUGAACUUAGAUCUGUGCUGCACCUGCAUGACCAGGUUCCUGGUGGCGGCACCAUAUUGCUGAUCAUGGAACAAUAUUUUUCUCUUCAAUAUGUAAGAGGAACGCUAUUCCUGGUGUACAAACCAUAUCUUCGGUCAUUCAUGUCUUGGAGUAGCCUGUUCUAUAACAAAGUUUCAAGGGAUUGGUGAUUUCCACAUCUGUGUAAAUGAUAUAUUAGCUCUGCAUCUAUGUUACUCUGAUAUGGCAAGGACACAGUCGGACAUAAAAAGGGCAGCCCAGUGCACGAGGCUCCUGCCAAUGCAGUGUCUGGGGAGGGACAGAUGUACGCAGCCUUACCCC